rnacentral:rRNA from 1 species
CCCUUAGAUGAUUUGGGCUGCACGCGCGCUACACUGACCCUAACAAUGAGCAACUGUCUGGCCUGAGAUGGCUGGGUAGCCUUUUCAACCCAUGUCAUGAUUGGGCUAGAUUUUUGUAAGUCUUGAUCUCUAACGAGGAAUCCCUAGUAUGCGUGAAUCAUCAAUCCAUGCAGAUUAUGUCCCUGCCCUUUGUACACACCGCCCGUCGCUCCUACUGAUUGGGUGAUCCGGUGAGCUGUUCGGCCAUAGCAAUGUUUCUUGAGCAGGGCAAUGAAUGUUGCGCAAACCUUGCCACUUAGAGGAAGGAGAAGUCGUAACA